CCUACGGGGGGCUGCAGUGGGGAAUAUUGGACAAUGGGGGGAACCCUGAUCCAGCCAUGCCGCGUGUGUGAAGAAGGCCCUCGGGUUGUAAAGCACUUUCAGUGAGGAAGAACGCCUGGUGGUUAAUACCCAUCAGGAAAGACAUCACUCACAGAAGAAGCACCGGCUAACUCCGUGCCAGCAGCCGCGGUAAUACGGAGGGUGCGAGCGUUAAUCGGAAUUACUGGGCGUAAAGCGCGCGUAGGUGGCUUGAUAAGCCGGUUGUGAAAGCCCCGGGCUCAACCUGGGAACGGCAUCCGGAACUGUCAAGCUAGAGUGCAGGAGAGGAAGGUAGAAUUCCCGGUGUAGCGGUGAAAUGCGUAGAGAUCGGGAGGAAAACCAGUGGCGAAGGCGGCCUUAUGGACUGACACUGACACUGAGGUGCGAAAGCGUGGGUAGCAAACAGGAUUAGAUACCCUGGUAGUC
rnacentral:rRNA from 1 species